AGUUAUUGUUAGCUAGGAGGAAGACAUGGAGGGUUCAACGCUGACACAGAGGAGGGCUGAGUGUCAGUUGAAGGAAAGGGAUAUCCAGACAGAAUACAUGAUGGAGCUGGGAGCCAGGUUGGCUCUGGUGAGACAGAUCCAGAGGGAGCAGGAGAAGGAGAUGAAGAGGAUUUGGUUUGAGACGAGGAAAAUGCCAAGCCUGAUUGAGGAGAAUGUGAGAGAUGUGACCAACCGUCCACUCACUGAGUUCAUGGCUCCCUGUAUUGACUCCCUCCCACCGCUGGCUUUCACCAAUCGGAGGCCUAUACCAACCAUGUUACAUCCCCCCUCUCCAUUGGCCAUACGCGCUCAGGAUGCACAGCGGUUCAUUGUAUUUUCAUACUUUGUCCCUGCUGAGUGCCCAGUUGCCACAGAGGCCACAGCAGAUGUAUCUACUGGUAAAAGAGAGGACUUAUUGACAGAUACACAUCUUUCCUCAAUGCUGCAUCGAUACCUGCCACACUUCUUUAACGAUGACUCCAUUCCACCACAGCAGACAGUAGAGGGAACCACUGAGCUCUCAGUUGCUCCAGUGGCAAUAUCUAAUAUAAAGGAAGAGAACAGAUUCUAUCCUUUCUCACUCCCACCACUGGCUCAGCGGUUCGUUGGCAAUUCAUUUAUUGUCCCAGAAACCUCCCAGCCUGCUGUUUCAGCCACAGAGUGCCGAGUUGCCAAAGAGGCCACUGCAGACACAGCCACUGUCAAGAGAGAGAACCGAUGGGCAGCCAGAAGUCUUCCUUCAGUGCUGCCUCCAUGCCUGCCACCAGUCUUUGACGAUGACUUCAUGCCUCCAGAGCAGACAGUAGAGGAUGCCUAUGAGGUCUCAGGUGCUACAGAGAACACUUCAGGCACAGCUACUGUUGAUGGAGUGGACAGAUCAACAGCUAAAUGCCCUGUCCCAAUGCUGCCUCCAAGUUUGCCACCUGUCUUUGACAAUGACUACAAACUGCCAGAGGAGGCAGUAGAGGGAACCAACAAGUGUCCAGUCGCCAGUGAAUCUGCCGCUUCCGUGUCCGCUGUCCACCAAGAGGAGUUUUCAGCUGAUAAGAGUCUUCCUGCACCCGCAGCACUGCCUCUAAGGCUGCCCUGCACCCACAGCAUUGACCACAAACAGCUGUGGGAGAAAGUUGAGGACAACACAGAGUUCUCAGUAGACAAAGAAGCAACUGUUGCCAUUUACACUUGGGAAGAUAAAAGUCCUUCAGUUCUGCCAUGCAUCCACAACAACAACGACCACCAUCUGCCAGAGGAGACAGUUGAGGACAACACAGAGUGCUCAGUUGACACCGAGGCAAGUGCAGUUGCAUCCACUGUCAAGAGAGAGGAACUGACAGGUGAUAAAAGCCCUGUCCGAACAAUUCCUCCAAUCCUGGGAUGCAUCCAUGACAAGGACCACAAGGAGUCAGAGCAGAAAGUGAAGGGCCCUAGUGAAGAGGUGGAUCUCUGCCCUCACGCUCACCAGCUGGACCCAGAUGUUAACUUAACUCUGGCAACCCGCAAUGAUGAACCCAGGACCUGGACCCUGGAAGAGGCAAAGGUAGGUGUCCUAUUUUACACUACUACUUUACAGGUAUGGGGGUCAGUUCCAUUUCAAUUCAAAGCAUUGAAGAGAAUUGGAAUUUUAGAGUUCUUCUUGAAUUGA
rnacentral:lncRNA from 1 species